AAGUCGUAACAAGGUAACCGUAGGUGAACCUGCGGUUGGAUCAUUAACAAACAUGGAAGAAAGGGGCUCGCUCGAUUGCUAGAGUUGCUCCCGGGCUCGAGGGCAGCCUCGGCUGCUCUUCCUGGGGGAACUCGCAAAAGAGCGUGUCCCUGGGUUCCAAAUCCCACCUUUUGCGCACCGAUUUUUCUUUUGAAUUAUCAAUGUAUUUUUCACCUUCUUUUUAUCUGAUACCUUUUUUGUAUGCUCCUCUCGUUGGAGGGGAAAGUAACAAAAAACAACUUUUGACAACGGAUCUCUUGGCUCUC
rnacentral:misc_RNA from 1 species